CGCCCCGAAUUGUAGUCUAGAAAGGCGCCAUCGGCCGCGUCCGCCGCUCAAAUCCCUUGGAACAGGGUAUCGGAGAAGGUGAGAAUCCUGUACCGUGGCGGUGCGCGGCCGCACGAUGCGUUCUUGCAGAGUCGGGUUGCUUGGGAUUGCAGCUUGAAUUGGGUGGUAAAUUCCAUCUAAAGCUAAAUACUGGCUCAUGACCGAUAGCGAACAAGUACCGUGAGGGAAAGAUGCAAAGAACUUUGAAAAGAGAGUUAAAGAGUGCUUGAAAUCGGAGCGAGGAAACCCGUUUGCGCCCGGCUUCGCGCCGUCGACUCAGCCGUCUCGAAGCGGUGCACUUUGUCGGCGCGGGUCCGCCGCGACUGUGGGCGCGUUAGAAUCGCCGGGGGGGCUUCGGUGAGCCCGGAGAUGGCGUGCUUGCGGUCCCGUCGGACGGAACGGGCGCAACCGACCCGUCUAGAAACACGGACCAAGGAGUCUGACACGGAUGCGAGUACCCGGGUGGCAAGCCCGCGUGCGCAAUGAAAGUGAAGGGCGUGCCCCGCCAACCGACCUUGAUCUUCUGUGAAGGGUUUGAGUGUAGCAUCACUGUCGGGACCCGAAAGAUGGUGAACUAUGCCUGAGGAGGUUGAAGUCUGCCGAAAGGCAGAUGGAGGGCCGUAGCGAUACUGACGUGCAAAUCGUUCGUCGAACUUGGGUAUAGGGGCGAAAGACUAAUCGAACCAUCUAGUAGCUGGUUCCCUCCGAAGUUUCCCUCAGGAUAGCUUGGACGCAAGGGUUUUGU
rnacentral:rRNA from 1 species